AGUGAACGCUGGCGGUAGGCCUAACACAUGCAAGUCGAACGGCAGCACAGGAGAGCUUGCUCUCUGGGUGGCGAGUGGCGGACGGGUGAGGAAUACAUCGGAAUCUACUCUGUCGUGGGGGAUAACGUAGGGAAACUUACGCUAAUACCGCAUACGACCUACGGGUGAAAGCAGGGGAUCUUCGGACCUUGCGCGAUUGAAUGAGCCGAUGUCGGAUUAGCUAGUUGGCGGGGUAAAGGCCCACCAAGGCGACGAUCCGUAGCUGGUCUGCGAGGAUGAUCAGCCACACUGGAACUGAGACACGGUCCAGACUCCUACGGGAGGCAGCAGUGGGGAAUAUUGGACAAUGGGCGCAAGCCUGAUUCAGCCAUACCGCGUGGGUGAAGAAGGACUUCGGGUUGUAAAGCCCUUUUGUUGGGAAAGAAAUCCAGCUGGCUAAUACCCGGUUGGGAUGACGGUACCCAAAGAAUAAGCACCGGCUAACUUCGUGCCAGCCGCCGCGGUAA
rnacentral:rRNA from 1 species